rnacentral:rRNA from 1 species
UGGGGAAUAUUGGACAAUGGGGGCAACCCUGAUCCAGCAAUGCCGCGUGUGUGAAGAAGGCCUUCGGGUUGUAAAGCACUUUAGUUGGGGAGGAAGAUAUGGAGUUUAAGAGACACCAUAUUUGACUGUACCCAAGGAAUAAGCACCGGCUAACUCUGUGCCAGCAGCCGCGGUAAUACAGAGGGUGCGAGCGUUAAUCGGAAUUACUGGGCGUAAAGGGCGCGUAGGCGGUUAGAUAAGUUGGUUGUG